rnacentral:rRNA from 1 species
GACGAACGCUGGCGGCGUGCCUAAUACAUGCAAGUCGAGCGGACGGAUGGGAGCUUGCUCCCAGACCGUCAGCGGCGGACGGGUGAGUAACACGUGGGCAACCUGCCUGUAAGACUGGGAUAACUCCGGGAAACCGGGGCUAAUACCGGAUAACUCUUUCCCUCACAUGAGGGAAAGCUGAAAGAUGGCAUCUCGCUAUCACUUACAGAUGGGCCCGCGGCGCAUUAGCUAGUUGGUGAGGUAACGGCUCACCAAGGCGACGAUGCGGAGCCGACCUGAGGGGGUGAUCGGCCACACUGGGACUGGGCCACGCCCCAGACUCCUACGGGAGGCAGCAGUAGGGAAUCUUCCGCAAUGGACGAAAGUCUGACGGAGCAACGCCGCGUGAGUGAUGAAGGUUUUCGGAUCGUAAAACUCUGUUGUCAGGGAAGAACAAGUACCGGAGUAACUGCCGGUACCUUGACGGUACCUGACCAGAAAGCCACGGCUAACUACGUG